rnacentral:rRNA from 1 species
CAGUCGCCGCGGGAAUACGAAGGGGGCUAGCGUUGCUCGGAAUGACUGGGCGUAAAGGGCGCGUAGGCGGCGAUCAAAGUCAGGCGUGAAAUUCCUGGGCUCAACCUGGGGGCUGCGCUUGAUACUUGGUUGCUUGAGUGGGGAAGAGGGUCGUGGAAUUCCCAGUGUAGAGGUGAAAUUCGUAGAUAUUGGGAAGAACACCGGUGGCGAAGGCGGCGACCUGGUCCUUGACUGACGCUGAGGCGCGAAAGCGUGGGGAGCAAACAGGAUUAGAUACCCCAGUAGUCCCUGUCUCUUAUAC